rnacentral:rRNA from 1 species
AACGAACGCUGGCGGUAUGCUUAACACAUGCAAGUCGUACGUGAAGGGGGCUUCGGUCCUGAGUAAAGUGGCGCACGGGUGAGUAACGCGUGGAUAAUCUACCCAAUGAUCUGGGAUAACAUCUCGAAAGGGGUGCUAAUACCGGAUAAGACCACGAAGUCUUAGGACUUUGCGGUAAAAGGUGGGGACCUUCGGGCCUACCGUCAUCGGAUGAGUCCGCGUACCAUUAGCUAGUUGGUGGGGUAAUGGCCUACCAAGGCUACGAUGGUUAGCUGGUCUGAGAGGAUGAUCAGCCACACUGGAACUGAGACACGGUCCAGACUCCGUACGGGUGCACG